CUCGGGUUGCUUAGUGAGGAGGCCAACAGAAAAGUUUCAGAUGCAAAGUUCUUUUACAUCUGUAAGUUUAGGCCUUUUGAGUGGACUUUCGUCCUAUCCAUGAACCGUUCUCCAAGCAGCCUAAAACACUU
rnacentral:snoRNA from 1 species